rnacentral:rRNA from 1 species
GACGAACGCUGGCGGCGUGCUUAACACAUGCAAGUCGAACGGAAAGGCCCUGCUUUUGUGGGGUGCUCGAGUGGCGAACGGGUGAGUAACACGUGAGUAACCUGCCCUUGACUUUGGGAUAACUUCAGGAAACUGGGGCUAAUACCGGAUAGGAGCUCCUGCUGCAUGGUGGGGGUUGGAAAGUUUCGGCGGUUGGGGAUGGACUCGCGGCUUAUCAGCUUGUUGGUGGGGUAGUGGCUUACCAAGGCUUUGACGGGUAGCCGGCCUGAGAGGGUGACCGGCCACGUUGGGACGGGGAUACGGCCCGGACUCCUACGGGAGGCAGCAGUGGGGAAUAUUGCACAAUGGGCGGAAGCCUGAUGCAGCAACGCCGCGUGCGGGAUGACGGCCUUCGGGUUGUAAACCGCUUUCGCCUGUGACGAAGCGUGAGUGACGGUAAUGGGUAAAGAAGCACCGGCUAACUACGUG